rnacentral:rRNA from 1 species
GUAGGUGGCAAGCGUUGUCCGGAAUUAUUGGGCGUAAAGCGCGCGCAGGCGGUUCUUUAAGUCUGAUGUGAAAGCCCACGGCUCAACCGUGGAGGGUCAUUGGAAACUGGAGAACUUGAGUACAGAAGAGGAAAGCGGAAUUCCACGUGUGGCGGUGAAAUGCGUAGAGAUGUGGAGGAACACCAGUGGCGAAGGCGGCUUUCUGGUCUGUAACUGACGCUGAGGCGCGAAAGCGUGGGGAGCAAACAGGAUUAGAUACCCUGGUAGUCCACGCCGUAAACGAUGAGUGCUAAGUGUUAGGGGGGUUUUCCGCCCCCCUUAGUGCUGCAGCUAACGCAUUAAGCACUCCGCCUGGGAGUACGACCGCAAGGUUG